rnacentral:rRNA from 1 species
UACGUAGGGUGCAAGCGUUGUCCGGAAUUAUUGGGCGUAAAGAGCUCGUAGGCGGUCUGUCGCGUCUGCUGUGAAAACUCGGGGCUUAACCCCGGGCCUGCAGUGGGUACGGGCAGACUAGAGUGCGGUAGGGGAGACUGGAAUUCCUGGUGUAGCGGUGAAAUGCGCAGAUAUCAGGAGGAACACCGGUGGCGGAAGGCGGGUCUCUGGGCCGUAACUGACGCUGAGGAGCGAAAGCAUGGGGAGCGAACAGG